rnacentral:rRNA from 1 species
GAUGAACGCUGGCGGCGUGCCUAAUACAUGCAAGUCGAGCGAAUGGAUUAAGAGCUUGCUCUUAUGAAGUUAGCGGCGGACGGGUGAGUAACACGUGGGUAACCUGCCCAUAAGACUGGGAUAACUCCGGGAAACCGGGGCUAAUACCGGAUAACAUUUUGAACCGCAUGGUUCGAAAUUGAAAGGCGGCUUCGGCUGUCACUUAUGGAUGGACCCGCGUCGCAUUAGCUAGUUGGUGAGGUAGCGGCUCACCAAGGCAACGAUGCGUAGCCGACCUGAGAGGGUGAUCGGCCACACUGGGACUGAGACACGGCCCAGACUCCUACGGGAGGCAGCAGUAGGGAAUCUUCCGCAAUGGACGAAAGUCUGACGGAGCAGCGCCGCGUGAGUGAUGAAGACUUUCGGGUCGUAAAACUCUGUUGUUAGGGAAGAACAAGUGCUAGUUGAAUAAGCUGGCACCUUGACGGUACCUAACCAGAAAGCCACGGCUAACUACGUGCCAGCCGCCGCCGUAA